UACGUAGGGGGCAAGCGUUGUCCGGAAUCAUCGGGCGUAAAGAGCGUGUAGGCGGCUUGGUAAGUCCGCUGUGAAAGUCCAGGGCUCAACCCUGGAAAGCCGGUGGAAACUGUCAAGCUUGAGUCCGGAAGAGGCGAGUGGAAUUCCUGGUGUAGCGGUGAAAUGCGCAGAUAUCAGGAGGAACACCAAUGGCGAAGGCAGCUCGCUGGGACGGUACUGACGCUGAGGAGCGAAAGCCAGGGGAGCAAACGGG
rnacentral:rRNA from 1 species